rnacentral:rRNA from 1 species
CCGGCACGGGUGGAGUAACACGUAUGCAAUCCACCUGUAACAGGGGGGGUAACCCGGAGAAAUCCGGACUAAUACCCCAUAAUAUGGGCGCUCCGCAUGGAGAGCCCAUUAAAGAGAGCAAUUUUGGUUACAGACGAGCAUGCGCUCCAUUAGCCAGUUGGCGGGGUAACGGCCCACCAAAGCGACGAUGGAUAGGGGUUCUGAGAGGAAGGUCCCCCACAUUGGAACUGAGACACGGUCCAA